rnacentral:rRNA from 1 species
UACGUAGGGUGCAAGCGUUAAUCGGAAUUACUGGGCGUAAAGCGUGCGCAGGCGGUUCGGAAAGAAAGAUGUGAAAUCCCAGAGCUUAACUUUGGAACUGCAUUUUUAACUACCGAGCUAGAGUGUGUCAGAGGGAGGUGGAAUUCCGCGUGUAGCAGUGAAUGCGUAGAUAUGCGGAGGAACACCGAUGGCGAAGGCAGCCUCCUGGGAUAACACUGACGCUCAUGCACGAAAGCGUGGGGAGCAAACAGGAUUAGAUACCCUGGUAGUCCACGCCGUAAACGAUGAUAACUAGCUGUCAGGGCACAUGGUGUUUUGGUGGCGCAGCUAACGCAUUAAGUUAUCCGCCUGGGGAGUACGGUCGCAAGAUUAAACUC